CCCUCAUUAGCUGACAUUCUUCCAAGAAGCUAAUCAUAACUCUGAAAUACAUGGCCUUGCUUUUCUUGAAAGCUAGUCAAGUACAUGGUUUUUGAAACUUCAUGAAACUAUAAAUUCCCUUAAGUAUUACAUAAAUCAUUUCAAAUCUUGACUCAAAUCUUAUAUCUUUCUUCCCAUAGGCAAAUCAUAGCUCCAACAAUAAUUUUUUAGAAAAAACUCUAUGAAGUCAAGGAA
rnacentral:lncRNA from 1 species